rnacentral:rRNA from 1 species
UUUAUAGAGAGUUUGAUCCUGGCUCAGGACGAACGCUGGCGGCGUGCUUAACACAUGCAAGUCGAACGGAGCACUCCUAAUUGAGACUUCGGUUGAGAGAGGGAAAUGCUUAGUGGCGGACUGGUGCGUAACACGUGAGUAACCUGCCCCGGAGUGUGGAAUAACACAGCGAAAGUUGUGCUAAUACCGCAUAAUAUGGUUUAGCCACAUGGCUUUACCAUCAAAGAUUUAUCGCUCUGGGAUGGACUCGCGGCCGAUUAGCUAGUUGGUGAGGUAAUGGCUCACCAAGGCGACGAUCGGUAGCCGGACUGAGAGGUUGACCGGCCACAUUGGGACUGAGAUACGGCCCAGACUCCUACGGGAGGCAGCAGUGGGGAAUAUUGGGCAAUGGGCGAAAGCCUGACCCAGCAACGCCGCGUGAAGGAUGAAGGUCUUCGGAUUGUAAACUUUAAUCUUCAGGGACGAGAACGGACGGUACCUGAGGUGAAGCCACGUCUAACUACGUGCCAGCAGACGCGGUAAUACGUAGGUGGCAAGCGUUGUCCGGAUUUACUGGGUGUAAAGGGCGUGUAGGUGGAUUUGCAAGUCAGGUGUGAAAUACCGCAGCUUAACUGCGGGGCUGCACUUGAAACUGCAAACCUUGAGUGCUGGAGAGGCAAGCGGAAUUCCUAGUGUAGCGGUGAAAUGCGUAGAUAUUAGGAGGAACACCAGUGGCGAAGGCGAUUCUCUGGACCGUAACUGACGCUGAGGCAUGAAAGCGUGGGUAGCAAACAGGAUUAGAUACCCUGGUAGUCCACGCCGUAAACGAUGAGUACUAGGUGUAGGAGGGUCCAACCUUC